UGCGAGCGAGCGCCUCCUGGCGAGCGGCGGCCAGCCGGGCCGCGAUGUUCGGCGACGGCGUGUCGGAUGCCUCGUCCAGCGCGAGCCGCACGCGA
rnacentral:tRNA from 1 species